ACGGAGGGGGUUAGCGUUGUUCGGAAUUACUGGGCGUAAAGCGCACGUAGGCGGAUCAGAAAGUUAGAGGUGAAAUCCCAGGGCUCAACCCUGGAACUGCCUUUAAAACUCCUGGUCUUGAGUUCGAGAGAGGUGAGUGGAAUUCCAAGUGUAGAGGUGAAAUUCGUAGAUAUUUGGAGGAACACCAGUGGCGAAGGCGGCUCACUGGCUCGAUACUGACGCUGAGGUGCGAAAGCGUGGGGAGCAAACAGG
rnacentral:rRNA from 1 species